rnacentral:rRNA from 1 species
GACAGAGGGUGCAAACGUUGUUCGGAAUCACUGGGCGUAAAGCGUGUGUAGGCGGCCAUACAAGUCGGAUGUGAAAGCCCUGGGCUCAACCCAGGAAGUGCACCCGAAACUGUGUGGCUUGAGUACUGGAGAGGUUGGUGGAAUUCUCGGUGUAGAGGUGAAAUUCGUAGAUAUCGAGAGGAACACCGGUGGCGAAGGCGGCCAACUGGACAGAUACUGACGCUGAGACACGAAAGCGUGGGGAGCGAACAGG